CCUGUCCAUCCACAGGGUCCUCCAGGGUGCAUCUUCCGUGCGUGAGUGCUGCACGAGUUCCUUUCAAGACCUGCCCACCUAUCCAGAAUUCAAGUGAAAAAUGGCACCCAAGGAUGUGGGAGUUUUCACAGGUGCGCUCUGCAGGAGACGCCUGUGUGGCCAGCUGAUGGAGUACAUUAAUUGAUUUUUAGAUGCUGAAGUAGCCUUGGAUGCCUGAGAUUAAUCCCACCUGGUCAUGGUCAUUCAUCUCCAGAGCAAUAUGCAAUACACAGAAGAAAAUUUAAGCAAUCCACAACCUUCCUGGACCAAAGAUUCAGAAGCAAAGGCUGAAAAGAG